CCUACGGGAGGCAGCAGUAGGGAAUCUUCCGCAAUGGACGAAAGUCUGACGGAGCAACGCCGCGUGAACGAAGAAGGCCUUCGGGUCGUAAAGUUCUGUUGUUAGGGAAGAACAAGUACCAGAGUAACUGCUGGUACCUUGACGGUACCUAACCAGAAAGCCACGGCUAACUACGUGCCAGCAGCCGCGGUAAUACGUAGGUGGCAAGCGUUGUCCGGAAUUAUUGGGCGUAAAGCGCGCGCAGGUGGUUCCUUAAGUCUGAUGUGAAAGCCCACGGCUCAACCGUGGAGGGUCAUUGGAAACUGGGGAACUUGAGUGCAGAAGAGGAAAGUGGAAUUCCAAGUGUAGCGGUGAAAUGCGUAGAGAUUUGGAGGAACACCAGUGGCGAAGGCGACUUUCUGGUCUGUAACUGACACUGAGGCGCGAAAGCGUGGGGAGCAAACAGGAUUAGAUACCCUGGUAGUCCACGCCGUAAACGAUGAGUGCUAAGUGUUAGAGGGUUUCCGCCCUUUAGUGCUGCNGCUACGACAUAGUCACUCCGCCGUCGGGAGGUACGGCCGGCCGACGGCGUGAACGUACGAAGGAAGUUAGUACGGCGUGAGACGUGCCGACGGACGACGACGAGGGAGGAGG
rnacentral:rRNA from 1 species